rnacentral:rRNA from 1 species
AGCGAACGCUGGCGGCAGGCCUAACACAUGCAAGUCGAACGAAGUCUUCGGACUUAGUGGCGGACGGGUGAGUAACACGUGGGAACGUGCCCUUUGGUACGGAAUAACUCAGGGAAACUUGAGCUAAUACCGUAUGUGCCCUUCGGGGGAAAGAUUUAUCGCCAUUGGAGCGGCCCGCGUCUGAUUAGCUAGUUGGGGAGGUAAAGGCUCACCAAGGCGACGAUCAGUAGCUGGUUUGAGAGGAUGAUCAGCCACAUUGGGACUGAGACACGGCCCAAACUCCUACGGGAGGCAGCAGUGGGGAAUCUUGCGCAAUGGGCGAAAGCCUGACGCAGCCAUGCCGCGUGAAUGAUGAAGGUCUUAGGAUUGUAAAAUUCUUUCACCGGGGACGAUAAUGACGGUACCCGGAGAAGAAGCCCCGGCUAACUUCGUGCCAGCAGCCGCCGUAA